UACGGAGGGAGCUAGCGUUGUUCGGAAUUACUGGGCGUAAAGCGCACGUAGGCGGCUUUGUAAGUUAGAGGUGAAAGCCCGGGGCUCAACCCCGGAAUUGCCUUUAAGACUGCAUCGCUUGAAUCCAGGAGAGGUGAGUGGAAUUCCGAGUGUAGAGGUGAAAUUCGUAGAUAUUCGGAAGAACACCAGUGGCGAAGGCGGCUCACUGGACUGGUAUUGAUGCUGAGGUGCGAAAGCGUGGGGAGCAAACAGG
rnacentral:rRNA from 1 species